GACGAACGCUGGCGGCGUGCUUAACACAUGCAAGUCGAACGGAAAGGCCCUGCUUUUGUGGGGUGCUCGAGUGGCGAACGGGUGAGUAACACGUGAGUAACCUGCCCUUGACUUUGGGAUAACUUCAGGAAACUGGGGCUAAUACCGGAUAGGAGCUCCUGCUGCAUGGUGGGGGUUGGAAAGUUUCGGCGGUUGGGGAUGGACUCGCGGCUUAUCAGCUUGUUGGUGGGGUAGUGGCUUACCAAGGCUUUGACGGGUAGCCGGCCUGAGAGGGGGACCGGCCACAUGGGGACUGAGGUACGGCCCAGACUCCUACGGGAGGCAGCAGUGGGGAAUAUUGCACAAUGGGCCGAAGCCUGAUGCAGCAACGCCGCGUGCGGGAUGACGGCCUUCGGGUUGUAAACCGCUUUCGCCUGUGACGAAGCGUGAGUGACGGUAAUGGGUAAAGAAGCACCGGCUAACUACGUG
rnacentral:rRNA from 1 species